CAAAAUGUAGCUUAUUAAAGCAUCCCGCUUACACCGAGAUAGAUGUCUAUAAAUAGACCAUUUUGA
rnacentral:tRNA from 1 species